rnacentral:rRNA from 1 species
AUUGAACGCUGGCGGCAGGCCUAACACAUGCAAGUCGAGCGGAGCGGCGGAGGGGUGAGUAAUGCCUAGGAAUGUGCCUGGUAGUGGGGGAUAACGUCCGGAAACGGGAGCUAAUACCGCAUACUAUCGGAUGAGGCUGGGCCGGAUUAGCUAGUGGGUGGGGUAAAGGCCUACCAAGGCGACGAUCCGUAACUGGUCUGAGAGGAUGAUCAGUCACACUGGAACUGAGACACGGUCCAGACUCCUACGGGAGGCAGCAGUGGGGAAUAUUGUACAAUGGGCGAAAGCCUGAUCCAGCCAUGCCGCGUGUGUGAAGAAGGUCUUCGGAUUGUAAAGCACUUUCAGUUGGGAGGCGUUACCAACAGAAUAAGCACCGGCUAACUUCGUGCCAGCCGCCGCGGUAAUAC